rnacentral:rRNA from 1 species
AUGGUCGCAAUGGCUGCCGCGAGUCUCCCCGAUCGAUGUCGCCGUCUGUCUGUGCUCCGAGCUCGAUGGUUCUCCGGCCAACAAGCGUUUGUUCGUGUCGCCACCAGCGUUAGGCGUUGCUCGCCACUGCCCCAGAUUGCCGCCGUACAUAGCGCUCCACCGUGCCCCCCACUGGAUCCCCUUCCUCCUGGUCAUGCCAUAUUGCCGUGCGUCAUCGUCGCGCCCAAGCUCUAUGAGAUACUUGAAGAGGGAGUGCUUGGGCUGCUUCAUGUAUUGUCUCAAAACAACUUGCCGUGCCAUAUUGCCGUGCUUCAUGUAUUGUCUGAAAACUUGAGAGUUUCAAGGAUCCCAAAUAUUCCAAAGGAUGAGAAAAGUGAUGAAACGCUUCCAAGUUUGAUGUCCUGGCAGUUUGGAGUAUUCCAGUAG